UACGAAGGGGGCUAGCGUUGUUCGGAUUUACUGGGCGUAAAGCGCGCGUAGGCGGAUUCUUAAGUCAGGGGUGAAAUCCCGGGGCUCAACCUCGGAACUGCCCUUGAUCACUGGGAAUCUCGAGUUCGGGAGAGGUGAGUGGAACUGCGAGUGUAGAGGGUGAAAUUCGUAGAUAUUCGCAAGAACACCAGUGGCGAAGGCGGCUCACUGGCCCGAUACUGACGCUGAGGCGCGAAAGCGUGGGGAGCAAACAGGG
rnacentral:rRNA from 1 species